rnacentral:rRNA from 1 species
UGACUGCGUACCUUUUGUAUAAUGGGUCAGCGACUUAUAUUUUGUAGCGAGGUUAACCGAAUAGGGUAGCCGUAGCGAAAGCGAGUCUUAACUGGGCGCUUAGUUGCAAGGUAUAGACCCGAAACCCGGUGAUCUAGCCAUGGGCAGGUUGAAGGUUGAGUAACAUCAACUGGAGGACCGAACCCACUAACGUUGAAAAGUUAGGGGAUGACCUGUGGCUAGGAGUGAAAGGCUAAUCAAACCGGGAGAUAGCUGGUUCUCCCCGAAAUCUAUUUAGGUAGAGCCUCGGACGAAUACUUACGGGGGUAGAGCACUGUUAAGGCUAGGGGGUCAUCCCGACUUACCAACCCUUUGCAAACUCCGAAUACCGUAAAGUAAUAUCCGGGAGACACACGGCGGGUGCUAACGUCCGUCGUGAAGAGGGAAACAACCCAGACCGCCAGCUAAGGUCCCAAAGUGUAUGUUAAGUGGGAAACGAUGUGGGAAGGCUAAAACAGCUAGGAGGUUGGCUUAGAAGCAGCCACCCUUUAAAGAAAGCGUAAUAGCUCACUAGUCGAGUCGGCCUGCGCGGAAGAUGUAACGGGGCUAAACAUACCACCGAAGCUGCGGCUGCGAAUUUAUUCGCGGGGUAGGGGAGCGUUCUGUAAGCGGUUGAAGGUGUACCGGGAGGUAUGCUGGACGUAUCAGAAGUGCGAAUGCUGACAUGAGUAACGACAAGAGGAGUGAAAAACUCCUCCGCCGGAAGACCAAGGGUUCCUAUCCCAUGUUAAUCAGGGUAGGGUAAGUCGACCCCUAAGGCGAGGCUGAAGAGCGUAGUCGAUGGGAAACGGGUUAAUAUUCCCGUACUUGGAAUAAUUGCGAUGGGGGGACGGAGCAGGCUAAGUAAGCAUGGCGUUGGUUGUCCAUGUGAAAGUGCGUAGGCUGAGAACUUAGGAAAAUCCGGGUUCUUAAGGCUGAGACACGAGACGAGCCACUACGGUGGUGAAGUUACUGAUGCCCUACUUCCAGGAAAAGCCUCUAAGCUUCAGAUUAUUUCGAAUCGUACCCCAAACCGACACAGGUGGUCAGGUAGAGAAUACUAAGGCGCUUGAGAGAACUCGGGUGAAGGAACUAGGCAAAAUUGUACCGUAACUUCGGGAGAAGGUACGCUGACAUUAGGUGAAGGACUUCGCGUCUGGGGAGCUGAAGUCAGCCGCAGUGACCAGGUGGCUGGGACUGUUUAUUAAAAACACAGCACUGUGCAAAAUCGUAAGAUGACGUAUACGGUGUGACACCUGCCCGGUGCCGGAAGGUUAAUUGAUGGGGUUAGUCCUUGGACGAAGCUCUUGAUCGAAGCCCCGGUAAACGGCGGCCGUAACUAUAACGGUCCUAAGGUAGCGAAAUUCCUUGUCGGGUAAGUUCCGACCUGCACGAAUGGUGUAACCAUGGCCACGCUGUCUCCACCCGAGACUCAGUGAAAUUGAAAUCGCAGUGAAGAUGCUGUGUACCCGCGGCUAGACGGAAAGACCCCGUGAACCUUUACUACAGCUUGGCACUGAACAUUGACCCUACAUGUGUAGGAUAGGUGGGAGGCUUUGAAGCACAGACGCUAGUUUGUGUGGAGCCGACCUUGAAAUACCACCCUUGUAGUGUUGAUGUUCUAACUUAGGCCCCUAAUCGGGGUUGAGGACAGUGCCUGGUGGGUAGUUUGACUGGGGCGGUCUCCUCCCAAAGAGUAACGGAGGAGCACGAAGGUUGGCUAAGUACGGUCGGACAUCGUACGGUUAGUGUAAUGGUAGAAGCCAGCUUAACUGCGAGACAGACACGUCGAGCAGGUACGAAAGUAGGUCAUAGUGAUCCGGUGGUUCUGAAUGGAAGGGCCAUCGCUCAACGGAUAAAAGGUACUCCGGGGAUAACAGGCUGAUACCGCCCAAGAGUUCAUAUCGACGGCGGUGUUUGGCACCUCGAUGUCGGCUCAUCACAUCCUGGGGCUGAAGUCGGUCCCAAGGGUAUGGCUGUUCGCCAUUUAAAGUGGUACGCGAGCUGGGUUUAGAACGUCGUGAGACAGUUCGGUCCCUAUCUGCCGUGGGCGUUUGAGAAUUGAGAGGGGCUGCUCCUAGUACGAGAGGACCGGAGUGGACGAACCGCUGGUGUUCGGGUUGUGAUGCCAAUUGCAUUGCCCGGUAGCUACGUUCGGAAUCGAUAACCGCUGAAAGCAUCUAAGCGGGAAGCGAGCCUCGAGAUGAGUUCU